UCUCCAGACUCCUACGGGAGGCAGCAGUGGGGAAUAUUGGGCAAUGGGCGCAAGCCUGACCCAGCAACGCCGCGUGAAGGAAGAAGGCCCUCGGGUUGUAAACUUCUUUUAUCAGGGACGAAACAAAUGACGGUACCUGAUGAAUAAGCCACGGCUAACUACGUGCCAGCAGCCGCGGUAAUACGUAGGUGGCAAGCGUUAUCCGGAUUUACUGGGUGUAAAGGGCGUGCAGCCGGGCUGACAAGUCAGAUGUGAAAUCCCGCGGCUCAACCGCGGAACUGCAUUUGAAACUGUCAGUCUUGAGUACCGGAGAGGUCAUCGGAAUUCCUUGUGUAGCGGUGAAAUGCGUAGAUAUACGGAGGAACACCAGUGGCGAAGGCGGCCUGCUGGACAAUAACUGACGCUGAGGCGCGAAAGCGUGGGGAGCAAACAGGAUUAGAUACCCGCGUAA
rnacentral:rRNA from 1 species